rnacentral:snRNA from 13 species
GGACGUACACGCACAGGGUCAAUGGGUGAUCAGAAGGCUCGUGGCCUAGGUUAGUGACCUCCAGUGCACUCAGGAGGGGUGCUGGUCUAAGCUCUCCCCAAGUGGGGGAGCCUACGUCAAGAUUUGGC